rnacentral:rRNA from 1 species
GCCUGAUGCAGCGACGCCGCGUGAGGGAUGACGGCCUUCGGGUUGUAAACCUCUUUCACCAGGGACGAAGCGCAAGUGACGGUACCUGGAGAAGAAGCACCGGCCAACUACGUGCCAGCAGCCGCGGUAAUACGUAGGGUGCGAGCGUUGUCCGGAAUUACUGGGCGUAAAGAGCUCGUAGGUGGUUUGUCGCGUUGUUCGUGAAAACUCACAGCUCAACUGUGGGCGUGCGGGCGAUACGGGCAGACUGGAGUACUGCAGGGGAGACUGGAAUUCCUGGUGUAGCGGUGGAAUGCGCAGAUAUCAGGAGGAACACCGGUGGCGAAGGCGGGUCUCUGGGCAGUAACUGACGCUGAGGAGCGAAAGCGUGGGGAGCGAACAGGAUUAGAUACCCUGGUAGUCCACGCCGUAAACGGUGGGUACUAGGUGUGGGUUUCCUUCCUUGGGAUCCGUGCCGUAGCUAACGCAUUAAGUACCCCGCCUGGGGAGUACGGCCGCAAGGCUAAAACUCAAAGAAAUUGACGGGGGCCCGCACAAGCGGCGGAGCAUGUGGAUUAAUUCGAUGCAACGCGAAGAACCUUACCUGGGUUUGACAUGCACAGGACGUGCCUAGAGAUAGGUAUUCCCUUGUG